GACGAACGCUGGCGGCGUGCUUAACACAUGCAAGUCGAACGGAGUGGCGAACGGGUGAGUAACACGUGGGUGACCUGCCCUGCACUUCGGGAUAUGCCUGGGAAACUGGGUCUAAUACCGGAUAGUGUGGGUUGGGCCCGCGGCCUAUCAGCUUGUUGGUGGGGUAAUGGCCUACCAAGCCGGCGCCUGUUAGGCGGCCUGAGAGGGUGGACGGCCACAUUGGGACGGAGGCAGGGACCAGAGGCCUACGGGAGGCAUCGGUGGGGAAUAUGGCACAAUGAGCGGGAGGCUGAUGCGGCGACGCUGGGUGGGGGAUGACGGCCUACGGGUUGUGAACUCCUUUCACCAUCGACGCGUUAGAUGGAGAAGAAGCACCGGCUAACUACGUGCCAGCAGCCGCGGUAAUGC
rnacentral:rRNA from 1 species